rnacentral:rRNA from 1 species
AGCGAACGCUGGCGGCACGCCUAACACAUGCAAGUCGAACGAAGUAGCAAUACUUAGUGGCAGACGGGUGAGUAACAUGUGGGUAUCUACCCUUUGGCCUGGAAUAACACGAGGAAACUUGUGCUAAUACCGGAUAAGUCUUUACGGAGAAAGCUUUAUGCACCAUUGGAUGAGCCCGCACUUGAUUAGUUUGUUGGUGGGGUAAUGGCCUACCAAGACUAUGAUCAAUAGCUGAUUUGAGAGGAUGAUCAGCCACAUUGGGACUGAGACACGGCCCAAACUCCUACGGGAGGCAGCAGUGGGGAAUCUUGCACAAUGGAGGAAACUCUGAUGCAGCGAUGCCGCGUGAGUGAAGAAGGCCUUUGGGUUGUAAAGCUCUUUCGUCGGGGAAGAAAAUGACUGUACCUGAAUAAGAAGGUCCGGCUAACUUCGUGCCAGCAGCCGCGGUAAUACGAAGGGACCUAGCGUAGUUCGGAAUUACUGGGCUUAAAGAGUUCGUAGGUGGUUGAAAAAGUUGGUGGUGAAAUCCCAGAGCUUAACUCUGGAACUGCCAUCAAAACUUUUCAGCUAGAGUAUGAUAGAGGAAAGCAGAAUUUCUAGUGUAGAGGUGAAAUUCGUA